GACGAACGCUGGCGGCGUGCCUAAUACAUGCAAGUAGAACGCACAGUUUAUACCGUAGCUUGCUACACCAUAGACUGUGAGUUGCGAACGGGUGAGUAACGCGUAGGUAACCUGCCUGGUAGCGGGGGAUAACUAUUGGAAACGAUAGCUAAUACCGCAUAAUAUUGAUUAUUGCAUGAUAAUUGAUUGAAAGAUGCUAUUGCAUCACUACCAGAUGGACCUUCGUUGUAUUAGCUAGUAGGUGAGGUAACGGCUCACCUAGGCGACGAUACAUAGCCGACCUGAGAGGGUGAUCGGCCACACUGGGACUGAGACACGGCCCAGACUCCUACGGGAGGCAGCAGUAGGGAAUCUUCGGCAAUGGACGAAAGUCUGACCGAGCAACGCCGCGUGAGUGAAGAAGGGUUUCGGAUCGUAAAGCUCUGUUGUAAGAGAAGAACGGGUGUGAGAGUGGAAAGUUCACACUGUGACGGUAUCUUACCAGAAAGGGACGGCUAACUACGUG
rnacentral:rRNA from 1 species